GAUGAACGCUAGCGGCAGGCCUAACACAUGCAAGUCGAGGGAGGAGCCUUCGGGCUUCGACCGGCGUACGGGUGCGUAACGCGUAUACAAUCUGCCUUUCACAUAGGGAUAGCCCGAAGAAAUUUGGAUUAAUACCUAAUGGUAUAUAGAUGUGGCAUCACCUUUAUAUUAAAGCUGAGGCGGUGAAAGAUGAGUAUGCGUUCUAUUAGCUAGUUGGAGAGGUAACGGCUCCCCAAGGCGACGAUAGAUAGGGGUUCUGAGAGGGAUAUCCCCCACACUGGUACUGAGAUACGGACCAGACUCCUACGGGAGGCAGCAGUGAGGAAUAUUGGACAAUGGUCGGAAGACUGAUCCAGCCAUGCCGCGUGCAGGAAGACGGCCUUAUGGGUUGUAAACUGCUUUUGCAGGGGAAGAAUAAGGACUACGCGUAGUUUGAUGACGGUACCCUGCGAAUAAGCAUCGGCUAACUCCGUG
rnacentral:rRNA from 1 species